GUGGGGAAUAUUGCGCAAUGGGGGAAACCCUGACGCAGCGACGCCGUGUGAGGGAAGAAGGCUUUCGGGUCGUAAACCUCUGUCAGAAAGGAAGAACCUCCCAUAUCCGAAUAGGGUGUGGGACUGACGGUACUUUCAAAGGAAGCACCGGCUAACUCCGUGCCAGCAGCCGCGGUAAUACGGAGGGUGCUAGCGUUAAUCGGAAUCACUGGGCGUAAAGCGCGCGUAGGCCGCUUCUUAAGUCGGACGUGAAAGCCCUCGGCUCAACCGGGGAACUGCGUUCGAUACUGGGAGGCUUGAGUCCUGGAGAGGGUGGCGGAAUUCCGGGUGUAGGAGUGAAAUCCGUAGAUAUCCGGAGGAACACCGGUGGCGAAGGCGGCCACCUGGACAGGUACUGACGCUGAGGCGCGAAAGCGUGGGGAGCAAACAGGAUUAGAAACCCCUGUAGUCC
rnacentral:rRNA from 1 species